rnacentral:rRNA from 1 species
AGGGUUCGAUUCUGGCUCAGGAUGAACGCUGGCGGCGUGCCUAACACAUGCAAGUCGAGCGAAGUUACUUACAGGAAGCCUUCGGGUGGAAUGGAUUUAACUUAGCGGCGGACGGGUGAGUAACGCGUGGGCAACCUACCCUGUACAGGGGAAUAACAAUGGGAAACCAUUGCUAAUACCCCAUAAUACCUUUUAGGGGCAUCCCUUAAAGGUCAAAGAAUUUCGGUAUAGGAUGGGCCCGCGUCGCAUUAGCUAGUUGGUAAGGUAAUGGCUUACCAAGGCGACGAUGCGUAGCCGGCCUGAGAGGGUGAACGGCCACACUGGAACUGAGACACGGUCCAGACUCCUACGGGGGGCAGCAGUGGGGAAUAUUGCACAAUGGGGGGAAAAACCCCUGAUGCAGCAACGCCGCGUGAGCGAUGAAGGCUUUCGGGUCGUAAAGCUCUGUCCUAAGGGAAGAUAAUGACGGUACCUUAGGAGGAAGCCCCGGCUAACUACGUGCCAGCCGCGGC